rnacentral:rRNA from 1 species
GUGAGGAAUUUUCCGCAAUGGGCGAAAGCCUGACGGAGCAAUGCCGCGUGAAGGAUGAAGGCCUAUGGGUUGUAAACUUCCUUUCUCAGAAAAGAAUUAUGACGGUAUCUGAGGAAUAAGCAUCGGCUAACUCUGUGCCAGCAGCCGCGGUAAGACAGAGGAUGCAAGCGUUAUCCGGAAUGAUUGGGCGUAAAGCGUCUGUAGGUUGUUUAAAAAGUAUUCUGUCAAAGAUUAGGGCUUAACCCUAGAUAGGCAGAAUAAACUUUUAAGCUAGAGUGUGGUAGAGGCAGAGGGAAUUCCCGGUGGAGCGGUGAAAUGCGUAGAUAUCGGGAGGAACACCAAAGGCGAAGGCACUCUGCUGGGCCAAUACUAACACUGAGAGACGAAAGCGAGGGGAGCAAAUGGGAUUAGAUACCCUGGUAGUCC